rnacentral:rRNA from 1 species
GACGAACGCUGGCGGCGUGCCUAAUACAUGCAAGUCGAACGCAUUUUCUUUCACCGUAGCUUGCUACACCGAAAGAAAAUGAGUGGCGAACGGGUGAGUAACACGUGGGUAACCUGCCCAUCAGCGGGGGAUAACACUUGGAAACAGGUGCUAAUACCGCAUAAUUCCAUUUACCGCAUGGUAGAUGGGUGAAAGGCGCUUUUGCGUCACUGAUGGAUGGACCCGCGGUGCAUUAGCUAGUUGGUGGGGUAACGGCCUACCAAGGCUGCGAUGCAUAGCCGACCUGAGAGGGUGAUCGGCCACACUGGGACUGAGACACGGCCCAGACUCCUACGGGAGGCAGCAGUAGGGAAUCUUCGGCAAUGGACGCAAGUCUGACCGAGCAACGCCGCGUGAGGGAAGAAGGGUUUCGGAUCGUAAAACUCUGUUGUUAGAGAAGAACAAGGAUGAGAGUGGAAAGUUCAUCCCUUGACGGUAUCUAACCAGAAAGCCACGGCUAACUACGUG